rnacentral:rRNA from 1 species
UACGGGGGGAGCAAGCGUUGUUCGGAUUUACUGGGCGUAAAGGGCGCGUAGGCGGCCACUGCAAGUCAGUUGUGAAAUCUCCGGGCUUAACCCGGAAAGGUCAACUGAUACUGCAGGGCUAGAGUGCAGGAAGGGGCAACUGGAAUUCUCGGUGUAGCGGUGAAAUGCGUAGAUAUCGAGAGGAACACCUGCGGCGAAGGCGGGUGCUGGGCUGACACUGACGCUGAUGUGCGAAGCCAGGGAGCGAACGGG